rnacentral:rRNA from 1 species
UACGGAGGGUGCAAGCGUUAUCCGGAUUUACUGGGUUUAAAGGGUGUGUAGGCGGAUUAUUAAGUCAGCGGUGAAAUCCCCGGGCUCAACCCGGAAACUGCCAUUGAUACUAUUAGUCUUGAAUAUUGUUGAGGUGGGCGGAACGGGUCAUGUAGCGGUGAAAUGCAUAGAUAUGACCCGGAACACCGAUUGCGAAGGCAGCCCACUAAGCAAUGAUUGACGCUGAGGCACGAAAGCGUGGGGAUCAAACAGG